GGGCAGAGCUGGAUUGUUGUGAAACUGAAAAGUCAUAGAUAUUAGAGUAAAUGAAAAAGUCAACUAUCUGAUCAAAUUGUUCUGCACACUUCCACAUAGAAGUCUUAAAGCCUCCUACACUAAUUUGUACAAGAUUUUGAAAGAGUUAAAGAUAUAAAAAGGAGUGAUGAGUUCUGACAAGGAAUUUUAAAAAAAAUAAAGAAUGUGAGGCUCAAGAUCAACGUGCCACUACAGGUAAAAAUUCAGAAUAAACAAAUAAACAGAGCUUAAUAAACAAUGUUUACAAGUAGCUGUUUGUAAUAUACAAAGUUACAAGACAGUGAAGACACAUGAAUACACAUUGAAUGUACUGUUGUAUAUGUACAUGUAUAAUUAUAUUACUUUUGCCACAUACGCCCAUGUACAUUGUUACUA